UCUAUGGCAGUUGCCAUAAACAGGCCAUAAAUCUGACUACAAAAGGGUUAUGUGUAUUAAACACAGACAAUAUAAAGCAUUAAGUGUAAUAAAUUUUUAAUAAGUAUUAUUUGCAACUUAAUGAUUAAUAAUGACAACUGAGAAUGUUUGUGAAAAGUCUAUAAGAUUGUUAGUAAAAUAUGUAAGGUUAUUAAAAGGUGACAUAAGUAACAACAUUUUGAAGUCGUAUUACAUAUCACGAUGUAAAAAAUUAUGCAACAAAGAAAAUUAUUCUGUGCCGAAGGUAAUAUUUGACACAACAAAGAGAUGUUCUAAGUGCUAUACUGCAUAUAGUGAUUGCUGCCCUUCUUACAAAAUUUUAAAACAUAGUAAAAGGAAUAGGUUUACGAGAAGAUUAAUUAAAAAAAUUCAAAAUAAGACAGAACUGACUUCUUUUCAAGCUAAAAUCAGUAAAUCUCUUCAAAAAAAUAAAGAAACAGUUAAUUCAAAUACUUUGCUAAUCACUUGCAACGUUUGUCAUAAUAAGGGAAUAAUAUUAUUAGAAAAACCUGUACCUAAAUUAUCUAAUAUUGCUCAUCAAAUUGAUCAGAAGAAGAAAAAACGUAAAAGAAAGGACCAUUUGGCAGGCUUAAAUGCAAAGUAUGUUUUAUCAAAUAAUAAACACAAAAAUUCUAUGUUAAAUAUUCAACCAGUGGAAAUAAAUUCUAAAAAGAAAGUAAAACAAAAGCGGCAUCUUUUAACUAAUGUGAUGAGUAAAGUAGACACCUCGAUAAGAAGUCCAUCUUAUUCUCUUGGCGACUUUUUAAGUACUUUAUCCAAAUAAUUUGUUUUUUUUUUGUUGUGUAAAAUAUAAAAUAUGUUUGCAUAAUUAAUACACAUGAUAAGUACAAUAACGUAUUGUAGUUUAUAUUAUUCUUGCCAAACCUUUAGGUUUAAACAUUAUUUGUGUUUUGUU